GAUGAACGCUGGCGGCGUGCCUAAUACAUGCAAGUCGAGCGAACGGACGAGAAGCUUGCUUCUCUGAUGUUAGCGGCGGACGGGUGAGUAACACGUGGAUAACCUACCUAUAAGACUGGGAUAACUUCGGGAAACCGGAGCUAAUACCGGAUGAUAUUUUGAACCGCAUGGUUCAAAAGUGAAAGACGGUCUUGCUGUCACUUAUAGAUGGAUCCGCGCUGCAUUAGCUAGUUGGUAAGGUAACGGCUUACCAAGGCAACGAUGCAUAGCCGACCUGAGAGGGUGAUCGGCCACACUGGAACUGAGACACGGUCCAGACUCCUACGGGAGGCAGCAGUAGGGAAUCUUCCGCAAUGGGCGAAAGCCUGACGGAGCAACGCCGCGUGAGUGAUGAAGGUCUUCGGAUCGUAAAACUCUGUUAUUAGGGAAGAACAUAUGUGUAAGUAACUGGGCACAUCUUGACGGUACCUAAUCAGAAAGCCACGGCUAACUACGUG
rnacentral:rRNA from 1 species